UACGGUAGGGGGCGAGCGUUGUCCGGAAUUAUUGGGCGUAAAGGAGCGUGUAGGCGGUUCGGUAAGUCUGCCGUGAAAACCUGGGGCUCAACCCCGGGCGUGCGGUGGAUACUGUCGGGCUAGAGUCCGGAAGAGGCGAGUGGAAUUCCCGGUGUAGCGGUGAAAUGCGCAGAUAUCGGGAGGAACACCUAUGGCGAAGGCAGCUCGCUGGGACGGCACUGACGCUGGAAGUGACGGAAAGCCUAGGGGAGCGAACGGG
rnacentral:rRNA from 1 species